rnacentral:rRNA from 1 species
UUUCAGUAACACGUGGACAACCUUCCCUCCGGACGGGGAUAAACCCGGGGAACUGGGUAUAAUACCCGAUAGAUAUCGGUCGCUGGAAUGCAUCGAGAUCGAAAGAUCCGGCGCCUGAGGAUGGGUCUGCGGCCUAUCAGGUAGUAGUGGGUGUAGCGUACCUACUAGCCUACCACGGGUACGGGUUGUGAGAGCAAGAGCCCGGAGAUGGAUUCUGAGACACGAAUCCAGCCCUACGGGGUGCAGCAGGCGCGAAAACUUUACAAUGCUGGCAACAGCGAUAAGGGAACCUCGAGUGCCAGGUUACAAAUCUGGCUGUCCGAUGCCUAAAAAGCAUUACAUAGCACGGGCCGGGCAAGACCCGUGCCACCAGCCUCAGUAAUAAAA